GCCGAGCGCUGGGACGCGGUCAUGGCGCUGUUCGAGGCCGCGCUCGACCGGCCGGCCGGCGACCGGCCGGCGUUCGUGGCCGCCGCGUGCGGCG
rnacentral:tRNA from 1 species